rnacentral:rRNA from 1 species
ACUCCCAACCCCUGUGACAUACCACUUGUUGCCUCGGCGGAUCAGCCCGCUCCCGGUAAAACGGGACGGCCCGCCAGAGGACCCCUAAACUCUGUUUCUAUAUGUAACUUCUGAGUAAAACCAUAAAUAAAUCAAAACUUUCAACAACGGAUCUCUUGGUUCUGGCAUCGAUGAAGAACGCAGCAAAAUGCGAUAAGUAAUGUGAAUUGCAGAAUUCAGUGAAUCAUCGAAUCUUUGAACGCACAUUGCGCCCGCCAGUAUUCUGGCGGGCAUGCCUGUUCGAGCGUCAUUUCAACCCUCAAGCACAGCUUGGUGUUGGGACUCGCGUUAAUUCGCGUUCCCCAAAUUGAUUGGCGGUCACGUCGAGCUUCCAUAGCGUAGUAGUAAAACCCUCGUUACUGGUAAUCGUCGCGGCCACGCCGUUAAACCCCAACUUCUGAAUGUUGACCUCGGAUCAGGUAGGAAUACCCGCUGAACUUAAGCAUAUCAAUAAGCGGGGGAA